UGUUAGUGAAUUAGAUGAAGCUGGAGCAGAGCAUGAUGUUGCUGUGUAGCUGGAGCAGAGCAUGAUACAGCUGGUUGUAGCAGAUCAAAUCAUUAAGCUGACCUGUCAAAGUUAGUUAGCUGGUUGAGCUGAUGUGUCAAGUUAGUUAUACAGCAAAUGAUUGUGUUGCAACAAUCUCGUGUGUGUUAAGAGAUUGUAGCUCAAUAUAAAUAUCAAUCUGUAUUCAUUAAACAGUAAGUUUUGGAAUAAUAAAAGAUCUAAUAGAUUUCUUUGUAAAGCUUUUCUUUUAUUUUCUUUCAUUUUCCAACCUACCAAACAAUAUAAAACUAAGUUUCUUUCAUGGUAUCAGAGCCAUAAAUGGCAAAUAUAGUUCAAAACAACAACUCCUUCAGUUUUGUUACGCCAGUAAAGCUAGAUCAAAACAACUUCAUUAUGUGGCGCACACAAAUUUUAACUUCAAUCAAAGGAAAUGGUUUGGAAGGGUUUAUCAAUGGCGAUCGAGAAUGUCCUGAGCAGUUUCUUUCUUAUGGAAACAACAAUGGAGCUGAAGUUUUAACUGAAUUUGGAUCUAGAUCUAUUAAUCCAGAAUUCGUAGCUUGGAUGAAAACUGACCAACUCUUACUGAGUUGGAUGAUGUCAUCGAUACAGCAAAAUCUGCUUGCAACUGUGAUUGAUUCUACAACUUCAAAACAGCUUUGGGAAACUCUUGCUAGUAUAUUUAUCUCUCAAUCACAAGAUAGAAUUCAAACACUUAGAAUGAAGAUUCAAACUAUUAAGAAAGGUGCAAUGCAUAUGUCUGAGUAUUUUGUAAAAGUAAAACGCAUAGCUGAUACUUUAGCUCUAGCUAGAAAACCUAUUGAGUUAAAUGAUCUUGUGAUGCACAUAUUAACUGGUCUUGAUUCUUCAGACUAUGAGUCUUUAGUCACUGCUGUGUUAGCUCGAGGUGAAAAGAUCACAUUAGAUGAACUAUAUUCUUUGUUGUUGAAUCAUGAAAAUAGAGUUGAGCAAAAGAAAGGAAAAUUGCUGGUGAUGUGAUGCAUGACAUGACAGCAAAUUUUGCUCAGAAGAACUCUUAUGCUGGAAAGAAUAAUGGAAAUUUUCAGAAAAAUUAUGGAAAUAACUAUGGAGGUGGUAAUAAUUCUGGAUAUGGAGGUUUUAAUGGAUAUGGAUAUGGUCAGUUUAAUACUGGUAGUAAUUCCUCUGAAGUUGUUUGUCAAAUUUGCUUCAUACCUGGUCAUGCUGCAAAUAGAUGCAGGAAUAGGUACAACUCAUCCUUUGUUCCACAGAGGAAUCAUGGUAGAGGCAAUAUGAAUGGUGGCAGAGGUUUUAAUCAAGGGCAAUAUGGUAGAGGAAGAGUAUAUAAUGGUAAUAGUGGAAGAGGUUUUGGAGGUUUUGGUUCAAAUGCUGGUUUUGGACAAAAUGCUAGUUUUGGUCAUGCACCCAGGGGUUCUGUUUAUCAAGGAAAUAUAGUGUAUCCAGAUAGCAAUCCUUCUGCCUAUUACUCUUUCACUCUUGGAUCAUCUAAUUUUGUUGUUGGUCAAGGAAACAAUAAUCCUGGACAGUCAAGUGCUUCAUCUUCCUCAGCUAUGUCUUCUUCACUUCCAGAACUCAUUGAAAAUCCUUCCUGGUACAUUGACAGUGGAGCCACAAAUCACAUUACUAAUGAUCUAGGUAAACUUCUAGAUUCACAAGCUUAUACUGGUACUGAAAAGUUAUUUGUUGGGGAUGGAAAUGCAUUAGCUAUUACACAUAUAGGAUCAGUUGUGCUGAAUACUUCAAAUUCUCAAUCUUUAUUUCUUAACCAUGUUCUUCAUGUUCCCUUUAUUACUAAGAAUUUACUUAGCAUCUCCAAAUUAUUGGCGGACAAUCCUGUUACUGUUGAAUUUCUUGGUGAUUUCUGUUUUAUAAAGGCCAGGAACACAGGGAAAAUUUUACUUGAAGGUGUUGCUAAAGGUGGCUUGUACAGAGUCUCUUCACAUGCUGCUGCUCACUCAGUUUUUCUCAGUUCAGUUGGUCAAAACAAAAUUCAGUCUCUUUUCGCUUGUUUUCCUAGUUUUACUUCUAAUAAGUUUUCUGCUGUUAGUUCUUCUGAUAAGCUGAAUAAAAACUCAUGUCUGUCAGUUGUUGCAAAUGGUUUAACUGAUGUAAAUCUUCUACAUAGAAGAUUAAGACACCCUGCUCCUUAUACUCUCAAAACCAUACUCAAAGCUUGUAACAACUUUACUGCUCUUGAUAAAGCUGAAAGUUUGAAAUUUUUUUCAGCAUGUCAAUAUGGGAAAAAUCAUAUGCUGCAUUUUGAUUCAGUUGAAACAAAAACUUCAGCACCUUUACAACUAAUAUAUGCAGAUCUGUGGGGUCCUUCUCAUGUUUGUUCUACCCAAGGAUAUACCUACUACCUGUCAAUCCUAGAUGAUUACAGUAGGUUUACCUGGAUAUUCCCUUUAUCAGCAAAAUCUGAUGCUCUUGAAGUCUUUAAAAAUUUCAAAACAUUCAUUGAAAAGCAUCUUCAACUUGCAAUCAAAACUGUCCAAACUGACUGGGGAAGGGAGUUCAGAUCUUUUUCCUCAUUACUCACUACUUCUGGUAUCCAUUUUAGACAUCCUUGCCCACAUAUUCAUCACCAAAAUGGAAGAAUUGAGAGGAAACAUAGACACAUAGUUGAUGUAGGUCUGACUUUAUUAGCUCAAGCUCAUUUACCACUCAAAUUUUGGUGAAAUGCAUUCCACUCAGUAGUCUAUUUGAUAAACAGACUUCCAACUCCAGUUCUAAAUAGCAUUUCUCCUUUCCAAAAGCUGUUUCAUUAUCAACCAGAUUAUUCAACACUUAAAACUUUCGAUUGUGCUUGUUAUCCAACACUCAGACCAUACAAUAGAUAUAAGUUUGAUUUCAGAACUGCUAGAUGUAUAUUCAUUGGCUAUAGUUCACAACAUAAGAGAUAUCUGUGUCUUCAUUCUUCUGGAAGGGUCUAUAUUUCCAAUCAUGUCACCUUUAAUGAAAAUUCAUUUCUUAUGAGUCUGGGGUAGAUUUUUCUUCAACCUCUUUAAGCUGUCAGUCCCCAUCACACUCUGAGUCUUCUUUUAAGUCUUCCACUUCUUCUGUUACUCAAUUACAAGCACCUUUAGCAGCAUCAUCAGCACCUCAACCUACUGAUCAUCAGUCUAAUGCUUCUAUUUCCUUCCCAAACUCUACUCCAGUUUAUUUUUCUAAUAACUCCAACUCAGCUUCUUCUUUCUCCUCUUCACAUUCCUCACCUCCCCAUACAUUGCCACAACCUGCACCAUCUGGUCAUCCAAUGGUAACCAAAUCAAAAUCAGGUAUUUUCAAGCCAAAAGUGUAUUUGUUAGCCUUGUUAGCCCAGCAAUCAGAACCAACUUCUGUUUCCAAAGCACUCUCUGAUCCUAUGUGGUAUAAAGUUAUGCAAGAAGAGUAUCUAGCACUUACAACUAAUCACACCUGGGAUUUGGUUUUACCUGCUACUCCAGUAAAGAUAGUUGGUAACAAGUGGGUGUUUCGAAUAAAGUAUAACUCAGAUGGCUCGGUUUCAAGGUAUAAAGUCAGGCUUGUUGCAAAGGGGUUUCAUCAGACACAUGGGGUUGACUACACAGAAACCUUCAGUCCAGUGGUUAAAUCUUCAACUAUCAGGGUUAUUCUCAGCUUAGCAAUGUUGCACCACUGGGUUAUUAGGCAAGUGGAUGUUAAUAAUGCCUUCCUCAAUGGCAUUUUAAUUGAAGAUGUGUACAUGGCUCAGCCUCAAGGUUUUGUUGAUUCAACUAAACCUAAUCAUGUUUGCAAGCUGAAUAAGGCUUUGUAUGGUUUAAAACAGGCUCCUAGAGCCUAGUUUGAUAGAUUUAAGGAUGCAAUGAUCUCCCAGUGGCAUUUUCAGCAUUCAAGGUCUGAUAACUCUCUUUUUUAUGCCUGGAACAGUGGUCAUAUAACUAUUGUUUUAGUCUAUGUUGAUGACAUUAUCAUCAUUGGUUCCAGUCCAUCACUAAUUCAGCAAACUAUUCAUAAUAUGCAUCAGACUUUUGCUUUAAAGGAUCUGGGGGAACUUCACUAUUUUUUAGGGAUUGAAGUCAGCAAGUCUUCCAAAGGGGUUUCCUUGACACAAGCAAAGUACAUUGUUGAUGUUCUGGACAAACAUGGCAUGACUAAUUGCAGUCCUGUGCCAACUCCAAUGUCUAUAGGUUAUUAUCUCACCAAAGACUCAGGGGAGCCAAUUGACAAUGUUUCUCAAUACAGAAGUGUUAUAGGAGCCCUUCAGUAUGUUACUCUCACCAGGCCCGACAUUGCUUUUUUUGUAAACAAGUUGAGUCAGUUCCUUUCCAAUCCUAAGACUCAACAUUGGGAAGCAUGUAAAAGGUUAUUGAGGUACUUAAAAGGUACUGUCCAUCUUGGGCUGCAGUUCUACAACCAAGGAGCUCUGCAACUCCAUUAUUUUUCAGACUCUGAUUGGGCUUGUGAUCAUGAUGAUAGGAAGUCAGUAGUUGGAUUUGCUGUUUAUCUAGGUCCCAAUCUUGUCUCUUGGUCGUCCAAGAAGCAAGCUGUUGUUUCCAGAUCCAGCACAGAAGUUGAGUAUAGAUCUCUUGCUCAUGCUGCUUCAGAGGUUACCUGGAUGAAGUCUUUACUUGGUGAACUUAGCAUCAAAUUGAGCUCUACUCCUAUGAUGUGGUGUGAUAAUCAAGGAGCCAUUGCUUUAGCUUAUAAUCCAGUUUAUCAUGCUAAAACUAAGCAUGUAGAAUUGGAUAUCCAUUUCAUCCGAGAUAAAGUUACUACUAAAGAAGUUGCAGUCUGUUACGUGCCUAGUCAAGAUCAAACUGCAGAUGUGUUGACUAAAGCUCUUACUUUCAAACAAUUUAGUUACUUUCGCAGCAAGCUGAAUGUUCAUCCUAAACAUUUCAGCUUGAGGGGGGAUGUUAGUGAAUUAGAUGAAGCUGGAGCAGAGCAUGAUGUUGCUGUGUAGCUGGAGCAGAGCAUGAUGCAGUUGGUUGUAGCAGAUCAAAUCAUUAAGCUGACCUGUCAAAGUUAGUUAGCUGGUUGAGCUGAUGUGUCAAGUUAGUUAUACAGCAAAUGAUUGUGUUGCAACAAUCUCGUGUGUGUUAAGAGAUUGUAGCCCAAUAUAAAUAUCAAUCUAUAUUCAUUAAACAGUAAGUUUUGGAAUAAUAAAAGAUCUAAUAGAUUUCUUUGUAAAGCUUUUCUUUUAU
rnacentral:lncRNA from 1 species